CAUAAACGCUUUGGUUGUAAAAAUUUGACAAUCCCUAAUCUUUAGGUUUCGAAGGGUUUUAGUGUUCCUGAAUCUGUUGAAUCCGCUAAUUCCUAAAUCAUUGUCACAAAUCACCUACACCAGUCCAAAUCAUUGUGAUUUAAUGUAUUUCUUCUCUCCAAAAUUUCUGCACCUCAGUUUUUUUUCUGAUUAAUUAGAGUGGAUUUUUCUUGGGAUUUUUGGUCAAUUCAAGACCGAUCAGGAUUGCCACUGAACCAUGCAGGGAUGAACUGCAGGGACACAUGUUUGCAAACCUGACCCCCUGAUGCAUCUACAAGGGAAGAUUGCUGGUACGAAUGGGGAUACUGGUGCCGGACACAUCAUCACAGUGAAGAACAUGCUCAUAAAAGAAAUCAUGUGUCCUCCAACUAGGGGAGGGAAGUCAUUUUGUUAGAAGAACUUAGAGUUGUCAGAGAAAGGAAAGGCAUUAGAGAGACCAAAAGAAAAGCAUAUUCCGCCAGAGCAUGCGCAACGCAGUUCACAUCUCUGUGGAUAAAGCUUUAGCUUUAUUUUUUUGAAAAUUUGCAGUCGUCUUGGUUUGGCGAAUAAUACGAGCUGCCCUCCAAGGGAUUCGAUAAGAAUGAACGGUUAGAGCCUUAACAACAGAUUAGAUGUCCCCCUCAGUGAUGACCUGAUUGAAAUUCAUUUUUUCUGCAAGAUGGGCAGCAAGCAAGAAACCAUUAGCCUCAGCAAUAACAGGAGUAGCUCGAGUUAAGAGCAUAGUUUCACUGCAGAGGUGAUGACCCUGCCAAUCUCUAGCAACUCUAGCAACCACUGUGGCAGUCCAUUCGCCCCAGUUCACUGGUAAAAGAAUAGUGAAUCCCAUGGCCCCAGUUCACUGGUAAAAGAAUUGGAGCGGAAAGACUAUCCAGCGGCAUUAACAGGGCAUUUGCAGGAUUCCUAGAUAAUUAUAGGAAACAUUAGUCUGAAACAUAGUCUGCUCAGAUAGGCUUCCCCCACCAAAGUGUUGCUAAAAAUGACUUUGUUGCAGUGCACUGAUAUGUUAACAGCAAAUAAUUUGUUAAGAUUGUCAA